rnacentral:rRNA from 1 species
AGUAAUGUAUCGGAACGUACCUUUCAGUGGGGGAUAACGUAGCGAAAGUUACGCUAAUACCGCAUAUUCUGUGAGCAGGAAAGCAGGGGAUCGCAAGACCUUGCGCUGAUUGAGCGGCCAAUAUCAGAUUAGCUAGUUGGUGAGGUAAAGGCUCACCAAGGCGACGAUCUGUAGCGGGUCUGAGAGGAUGAUCCGCCACACUGGAACUGAGACACGGUCCAGACUCCUACGGGAGGCAGCAGUGGGGAAUUUUGGACAAUGGG